GCACGCGAACGCAGCACCUGGCCGCUCCGCUCCCAGCGCAGAGAUGAGCGGACAGCGGCACGCACGAGGCAGGAACAUCCCCACCGGAGAGCUCUGAUCACUGUCGGGAUACCGCACUUGACCUCUGAACUGUGAGUGACACCAGCUUCUGGACACCUACUUUCUCUGGACAUUCUUUU